UACAGGGGGUGCAAACGUUGCUCGGAAUCAUUGGGCGUAAAGCGCACGUAGGCGGUUCGUUAUGUCGGAUGUGAAAGCCCUUGGCUUAACCGAGGAAGUGCAUCCGAAACUGGCGAGCUAGAGUACGAAAGAGGAUCGCGGAAUUCCCGGUGUAGCGGUGAAAUGCGCAGAUAUCGGGAGGAACACCGGUGGCGAAGGCGGUUCUCUGGGCCUUACCUGACGCUGAGGAGCGAAAGCGUGGGGAGCGAACAGG
rnacentral:rRNA from 1 species